rnacentral:rRNA from 1 species
GAGCUCGUACGCGGUUUGUCGCGUCUGCUGCGAAAACUCAAGGAUCAACCUCGGGCUUGCCUGGGGUACGGGCCGACUACAGUGCGGUGGGGGUGAUAGGAAUUCCUGGUGUAGCGGUGGAAUGCGCAGAUAUCAGGAGGAACACCGAUGGCGAAGGCAGGUCACUGGGCCGCAACUGACGCUGAGGAGCGAAAGCAUGGGGAGCGAACAGGAUUAGAUACCCUGGUAGUCCAUGCCGUAAACGUUGGGCACUAGGUGUGGGGCUCAUUCCACGAGUUCCGUGCCGCAGCAAACGCAUUAAGUGCCCCGCCUGGGGAGUACGGCCGCAAGGCUAAAACUCAAAGAAAUUGACGGGGGCCCGCACAAGCGGCGGAGCAUGCGGAUUAAUUCGAUGCAACGCGAAGAACCUUACCAAGGCUUGACAUACACCGGAAACUUCCAGAGAUGGUUGCCCCGCAAGGUCGGUGUACAGGUGGUGCAUGGUUGUCGUCAGCUCGUGUCGUGAGAUGUUGGGUUAAGUCCCGCAACGAGCGCAACCCUCGUCCUAUGUUGCCAGCGGGUUAUGCCGGGGACUCAUAGGAGACUGCCGGGGUCAACUCGGAGGAAGGUGGGGAUGACGUCAAAUCAUCAUGCCCCUUAUGUCUUGGGCUUCACGCAUGCUACAAUGGCCGGUACAAAGGGCUGCGAUACCGCGAGGUGGAGCGAAUCCCAAAAAGCCGGUCUCAGUUCGGAUUGGGGUCUGCAACUCGACCCCAUGAAGUCGGAGUCGCUAGUAAUCGCAGAUCAGCAACGCUGCGGUGAAUACGUUCCCGGGCCUUGUACACACCGCCCGUCAAGUCACGAAAGUCGGUAACACCCGAAGCCGGUGGCCCAACCCUUGUGGAGGGAGCUGUCGAAGUGGGACUGGCGA